rfam:TPA: Bos taurus chromosome 17, whole genome shotgun sequence.
UCCCUGAUGGUCCAGUGGUUAAGACUUUGCACUUCCAAUGCAGGGGAUGCAAGUUUAAUCCCUGGCCAGGGAA